GCGUUCUGUAAGCCUGUGAAGGUGGCCUGUGAGGGUUGCUGGAGGUAUCAGAAGUGCGAAUGCUGACAUAAGUAACGAUAAAGCGGGUGAAAAGCCCGCUCGCCGGAAGACCAAGGGUUCCUGUCCAACGUUAAUCGGGGCAGGGUGAGUCGACCCCUAAGGCGAGGCCGAAAGGCGUAGUCGAUGGGAAACAGGUUAAUAUUCCUGUACUUGGUGUUACUGCGAAGGGGGGACGGAGAAGGCUAUGUUGGCCGGGCGACGGUUGUCCCGGUUUAAGCGUGUAGGCUGGUUUUCCAGGCAAAUCCGGAAAACCAAGGCUGAGGCGUGAUGACGAGGCACUACGGUGCUGAAGCGACAAAUGCCCUGCUUCCAGGAAAAGCCUCUAAGCAUCAGGUAACAUCAAAUCGUACCCCAAACCGACACAGGUGGUCAGGUAGAGAAUACCAAGGCGCUUGAGAGAACUCGGGUGAAGGAACUAGGCAAAAUGGUGCCGUAACUUCGGGAGAAGGCACGCUGAUAUGUAGGUGAAGCGACUUGCUCGUGGAGCUGAAAUCAGUCGAAGAUACCAGCUGGCUGCAACUGUUUAUUAAAAACACAGCACUGUGCAAACACGAAAGUGGACGUAUACGGUGUGACGCCUGCCCGGUGCCGGAAGGUUAAUUGAUGGGGUUAGCGGUAACGCGAAGCUCUUGAUCGAAGCCCCGGUAAACGGCGGCCGUAACUAUAACGGUCCUAAGGUAGCGAAAUUCCUUGUCGGGUAAGUUCCGACCUGCACGAAUGGCGUAAUGAUGGCCAGGCUGUCUCCACCCGAGACUCAGUGAAAUUGAACUCGCUGUGAAGAUGCAGUGUACCCGCGGCAAGACGGAAAGACCCCGUGAACCUUUACUAUAGCUUGACACUGAACAUUGAGCCUUGAUGUGUAGGAUAGGUGGGAGGCUUUGAAGUGUGGACGCCAGUCUGCAUGGAGCCGACCUUGAAAUACCACCCUUUAAUGUUUGAUGUUCUAACGUGGGCCCCUAAUCGGGGUUGCGGACAGUGUCUGGUGGGUAGUUUGACUGGGGCGGUCUCCUCCUAAAGAGUAACGGAGGAGCACGAAGGUUGGCUAAUCCUGGUCGGACAUCAGGAGGUUAGUGCAAUGGCAUAAGCCAGCUUGACUGCGAGCGUGACGGCGCGAGCAGGUGCGAAAGCAGGUCAUAGUGAUCCGGUGGUUCUGAAUGGAAGGGCCAUCGCUCAACGGAUAAAAGGUACUCCGGGGAUAACAGGCUGAUACCGCCCAAGAGUUCAUAUCGACGGCGGUGUUUGGCACCUCGAUGUCGGCUCAUCACAUCCUGGGGCUGAAGUAGGUCCCAAGGGUAUGGCUGUUCGCCAUUUAAAGUGGUACGCGAGCUGGGUUUAGAACGUCGUGAGACAGUUCGGUCCCUAUCUGCCGUGGGCGCUGGAGAACUGAGGGGGGCUGCUCCUAGUACGAGAGGACCGGAGUGGACGCAUCACUGGUGUUCGGGUUGUCAUGCCAAUGGCACUGCCCGGUAGCUAAAUGCGGAAGAGAUAAGUGCUGAAAGCAUCUAAGCACGAAACUUGCCCCGAGAUGAGUUCUCCCUGAGACUUAGAGUCUCCUGAAGGAACGUUGAAGACGACGACGUUGAUAGGCCGGGUGUGUAAGCGCAGCGAUGCGUUGAGCUAACCGGUACUAAUGAACCGUGAGGCUUAACCUU
rnacentral:rRNA from 1 species